CCGCCCGUCACACCAUGGGAGUUGAUUGCUCCAGAAGUGCCUGAGCUAACCGCAAGGAAGCAGGGUCCCAAGGAGUGGUCGAUGACUGGGGUG
rnacentral:rRNA from 1 species